rnacentral:lncRNA from 1 species
UCUGAAAUGCUACACAAUUUAUGUCUUCAUCUUCUUUCGUACAUAUCUAUGUUGCUAAGUAUAACAUAGUUACGACUUACAGAAUAACUUGCGAGAUAUUAUGAUAAAAGAAGAAGAAGACAAGGCUCAUUGUAUUUUGAGUUUUGGAAAACUGGAAUUUGAGAACAUUAUGUCUUAAACGUAACUCUUCAGUACAGAGGAAUAUUGAGACACUGAACAUACGCUACCACUUAAUACUUACUGAUCAUUUGCGUCGGUUUGCCAGCAUUGGACGUUAGUUUCUUAAUGGAAGCAUUGUGUAGAAAGUCACUUGCCUCAUAGUAGACAAGCAUUUCAGUUUACGGAAGGAGAUUCGAUCCAACUACCAGCCUUCUGCUUU